UGGAUGCUCUGUUCUCUGUUGCAGGUGGCACUCCUCCUCGCAAUGCUGCUAUGACAUGCUGACUUCACACACCACAGCUAAGCCCUGAUUACAGCUGUGUAAGUGGACUUGGCUGGGCCCUCUCCCUCAGUACUCUGCACAGGUGACCUGUCCACUCCUUGGCGACUCAUUCUGCUACCUGAUGCCUCUUGUCCUGAUCUCUCCAGUGCUUGGCUCAAAGCCCAGAGUCAAUUUCCAUUCCUUUUGGUCGAUCUUACCUGUCAUCACAGCCUGACCAGGUCUGGGCACCGGAACGCAGGCCCUCAGACUUUCAGCAGUAUCUCUGCCAGCUGCCGCCUGGAGAAAAUUUACUGCGUGUCAAGCAUGGAGCUUUAAGAAGACUGUCCAUUUAAUUUGUCUGGCUGCAGAAGGUAGAAGCUGUCACCCUGCAAGCACACUCUGCAGAGAACUUGAGGUUGGAAGAGGUGAGGCGGUCCAUCCUGAGUUCCGCAGCUCUACCGGGGCGGAGUGGUGGUGUGAGGCCAGGCUGGGCUACAGUGCUCAUGUGCUUCCUGCCUAUGCCAUAUCGUCAUGCCAGAGGAAGACACAGAAUGGGUAGCCCAUGGGUGAACGAAGCCUUUCUACAAGGCAGGUUGCUCUGGAGCCUCACUCACCACAAGCAUGGCAGGAACUGCAUGUGUCCUCUGUGAUGGCCGUUCUUGGUUGUCAGCUUGACUACAUCUGGAAUUAACUAAAACCCAAAUGACUGGGCACACCUGUGAGGGACUUCUGCUUAAUCAUUUAAAGUGGGAAGAUACGUCUCUAAUUGGUUUUGAGGUGGGAAGACAAACCUCUAAUCUGGGCCACACCUUCUGCUGGCAGCCUCUGUAAGGACAUGGGAGAAAGAAGCUCUCUCUCUUUGCCUGUCGGUCCUCACUAGCAAGCCCAUUCCUUUACUGGCAUUAGAGCCUGCUUCUUUGAGAUUCAAGCAUAUACUGAAGACCAGCUGAGACAUCCAGUCUCAGGGACUGAACAACUACUGGAUUCUUGGACCUUCCAUUUAUAGGCAGCCAUUGUUAGAUUAGCUGGACCACAGCCUUUGGCCAGUCUAAUAAAUUCCCUUUAUAUAGACACUAAAUGAUUAUA